GACUUUAUAACUCAGUUGGUUAGAGUAUCACGUUAACACCAUCGUGAUCCCGUGAAAGUCCCCGGUUCGAGCCCGGGUAAAGUCA